rnacentral:misc_RNA from 1 species
UGACCCUGGCAUUCCCCUGUG